rnacentral:rRNA from 1 species
AUUGAACGCUGGCGGCGUGCUUAACACAUGCAAGUCGAGCGGUAACGCGGGGGCAACCCUGGCGACGAGCGGCGAACGGGUGCGUAAUACAUGGGAAUCUGCCCUGUAGUGGGGAAUAACCCGGCGAAAGCCGGGCUAAUGCCGCAUACGAUCUACGGAUGAAAGCGGGGGACCUUCGGGCCUCGCGCUAUUGGAUGAGCCCAUGUCGGAUUAGCUAGUUGGUGAGGUAACGGCUCACCAAGGCGACGAUCCGUAGCUGGUCUGAGAGGACGGCCAGCCACACUGGGACUGAGACACGGCCCAGACUCCUACGGGAGCAGCAGUGGGGAAUAUUGGACAAUGGGGGAAACCCUGAUCCAGCGACGCCGCGUGUGUGAAGAAGGCC